CUGGAGGAAAUUGUGAUUCAUGGCUUAAAUGAAAGAGUGAUGAUCACCCUACCCUCAGAUGGUCAUGUGGCCCUCUCUUCCAGAUGAAAUCAACCUGAGCAUUUGAGAAUGGGCAUCCUGGCUGAGGCAGCCGUGGUGGAAAUCAGAGACUCCAGGAUUGCCAUCACAAGUUCUGAAUCCAGUGUCUUCCCACUCACAGAACCAGGCAACAAAGAAGUCUGUGGCGUCCACAGGAGGGAAACAAAGCAAAACGAAGCGCCGACCAGUGCGGUACUAUUAAUUCAAAUUAAUGACCCUCACCUACAAAUAAAGCUGGUGCCUGGCAGGUCGCUGGCUCUUGGAGAGCUGCAAUGAGAACAAACGUGGCUUUGCCGUCUGGCCAGGCAAUCGAUGCCUCCUGCCUGUCCCUGGCCGCCCCGCACCCACCUCUUACAGAUGUUACCUGUCUCCUGUUAAUUCUCCCGUGUCACUCUCCACUUCCCCGGUGGGGGUGGGGGGGGGGCGGUCAAGGGUUGACCUGGAGGGUGGGCUUAUUUCAUAAGAAAGGCCGAUUGAAAGGGCCCAGAUGCAAAGUCACACUGCUCUGCUGAGCUGGGAGGACACCCCACUGAGAGACGUGUCUGAAAUGGGUGGAGGUCUCUGGGCAUCACUGGCAGGGGUGGGUGCCUGACUGUCAUUUAGGGACAUUUCUGCCUUGAUCUGUUGCUCUUAUUUAUCUCUGCCAAAAUAAAGAUGUGUUUGAUGAUAAAGACUUCUUUUAUUCAGCCUCUCAGUUAUUCCAGCACGGUAGUUAGAGAUGAAUACAACGUUGCCCUUAAGCUACAACCUGAUCUUCACAAAAACCCUUUGAAGAAG
rnacentral:lncRNA from 10 species